rnacentral:rRNA from 1 species
CCUACGGGAGGCAGCAGUGAGGAAUAUUGGUCAAUGGACGAGAGUCUGAACCAGCCACGUAGCGUGAAGGAUGACUGCCCUAUGGGUUGUAAACUUCUUUUAUAUGGGAAUAAAACAGGGUAUGCAUACCCUCUUGUAUGUACCAUAUGAAUAAGGAUCGGCUAACUGCGUGCCAGCAGCCGCGGUAAUACGGAGGAUCCGAGCGUUAUCCGGAUUUAUUGGGUUUAAAGGGAGCGUAGGUGGAUUUAUAAGUCAGUUGUGAAAGUUUGAGGCUCAAACGUAAAAUUGCAGUUGAAACUGGCAGUCUUGAGUACAGUAGAGGUAGGCGGAAUUCGUGGUGUAGCGGUGAAAUGCGUAGAUAUCACGAAGAACUCCGAUGGCGAAAGCAGCUCACUGGACUGCAACUGACACUGAUGCUCGAAAGUGUGGGUAGCAAACAGGAUUAGAUACCCGGGUAGUC